GUCACAUUGGUGGGCCGAGUCUCAGGCCAAUAGGUCUAAGAAGCAUUCAGUUCAGUGGACAUUUCCUUGAGACUCUGGGGCGAAUAGUGCAGGGUCUCUGGAAUGUGAACUUCAGUUCCCCGUGGAGAACCUCGGGACGACUCACAAGGCCUACGGAAGACGGCUCUGCGUUCUCCUCCGACACCCCUGAGGAAAAAGGGCACCUGGGAGGUGCCAGCCUGAGCCAGGGCUUGGGCAACGUUCAGAAAAAUAACCUGGAAACCACCGCGACCCACCUGGAGGCGCUGACCAUUUAGGGACAGAGGCUGUUUAACCUGCGUGGACAAAAGUGAGGAGCACAGCCUCCCUUGGCAGUCUGGCCGGCCGGCUUGGGGCAGUGGUAAGAGGUGCUUUCUUGGCACAGCGCUCGAACCCUCACCUGGUUUUCCUAAAUAGAGACAAGAAAUGGAUCCAUCAAAGAACUCUUCCCGAGGCUCCUAGAGGAACCUCCCUCAGUACCUUUGUCUGUCCUCACACAGGGCAUAGAGGUGCAGGAGGUUCUAGAAAGAAGGACUGGAUCAGACAAAACUCAGGGAAGUGCCAUCUCCCUCAGGGCCCAGGGGUGCACUGACUUCGAGGACCACAGGGGAGGCUGUGCUGACUUCAAGGACCACCGCGGAGGCUGGUGCACCCUCUGCCAGAACCAGGCAGAGCCUGAACACACCAACGUGGUCUCUUCCUAGCUGGCCCCAGCCACUGUCAGCUGGAAACAUGGAGAGCUCUGUGUGAGCAGGUGUUCUAGCCAAUGGCACACCUGUGCAGAAGGGAAACCCACACAGCUCUGAACAGAGGGUGGCCAGCUCGCAUAGGCUGCUGCUGGGAACUCACAUAUCUCCGCUUUAGUUUCUAGGUGCGUUGAGAUUAGACUUGGAUUCUUCAGGGAAUUGUUUUUCCAAUCAAUGAAAACAAAGCACCCUUCUGGCUGUAGCUAGCUGGACUAAAGAACAGCUUCUACUAUGUGGAUGGUGGAGGGAGAAGGUGGCACAACAGGCGGGCGAGGAGCGAGAUGGAGGGGCGGCCGUGACCUCUUGUAAGGAUGGCCUUUGGCCUGAUUCUAAGCACACUCAGUUUUAAAAACCUGCAGUCUCCCCAGGCACAGCCCACAGAGCCCUCCAUACGUCAUCAGGCAGGGCCUGGUAAACAAGCCAUGAGCAGCCUCUUGGCAUAAACAAGUCCCUUUCCAGAACCCUGAUAAGAGGCAGAGUGUAAAAUCAGGGUGGAAGCCUCCAAGCCAUAUGCCUUGGCUCUGAAAUGUAAAACGUCACUUAGAACACUGGUGACAGCUGAUAGGGACCCAAAGGGUGAGCAGAAGCUCCAAAAUUUAGUAUAAAUAAUAGAGCAGAAGGACACUCAGCCACUGACACUGAUGUCCACUUGCUGGAGAGACAGCGAGGACCUGGACUGACAUCCCAACUCUUCUCGUCGUCUGCCUGAUCCUCUGCAUCGUCCUCACCACUCUCAAACUCUACAGCCACAUCUGGACCCUGGGGCGAACAGCAACGUCUCCUUAUGACCCUCUCCUCAACUGGCCGUCAGCUCCGCCCAGGAGAAGCCUGCCUUGGUUCCUGACCUGAUCACCGAGCCCUGAGUGAGUGGGCAUCUGCUGGACUUAGAGCCUCAGGCUGGAGACUUUAGACCUGCCCUUGGGCUUAGCAUCACAGAGGGAAUGUCUUGUUGAGAGCCACAGCCAAAGGGGCCCCAGCAAACUUCCAGCUGCCAGCAAACUUCCAGCUGCCGGCUGAUGAUUGGCUCACAGCGGCCCUAGCAACAUCUAGCUGAUUGGCUCCUCGGCCCCAGCAACAUCUAGCUGAUUGGCUCCUCUGCGGUGAUGCUCAUUGGACUGUUUCCCUGCCCUUUCAGACCACGGAGCUGCUCCUUGGGGGACUUUUUUGGCUCCGCCCACGUGACCCAGCCAAUCGGCCUCAAGAGCAGGAGGAUUGUGGGAGGUGGAGAGAAGCUUGUGUGGGAGAGAGAGGCUUGUGGAAAGCCAGUGGUGGCAGUUGAGGCUCUG
rnacentral:lncRNA from 1 species